rnacentral:lncRNA from 1 species
GCGGAAUAAGGUUCUGAUUACAUGUAUGAAGACAUGAACCCUAGAGUUCAUUAAUACAUAAUAAGACAAAAGAAUCCUGCUCGUCACUUCAUCACCAUCGGCAGCUGCUCAACCUGCACAUUUAGAAAUAUAUGCAGGGCUUGAGUACAAAGUACUCAAUGAGCACGUAUGCCUAAGUAUAAAUACAUGCUUCAAAACUAUAAAUUGUCAUGCCAUAAUAAACAGUACAGCAAGGGAGUUUUUCGCUAAAAGGCCCAAGCUUACUAAAUUCAUUUGUGAUUCUUAAAGUUCGACUGCAGUCUAAGUUCUCUUGUAAUCUAUCAUAUCUGGAACUUUGUGCCGGAGAGGUGGCCACCUCUCACGGUCACUUGACCGGCCAACCCGCUAGAUGACUCACGGCCACUGGUGUACACUAGCCCUGGCAGGAUAGCUAUCAACUGCUCAAGACCCGAAUUCGAUUACAUGAUAAAAGUCACAUCAGAUAGAUAUCAUACUGAAAUUUAAAUAUUUUAUGGCAAGACAAUAUUUGAAAUAACUUCAAUUAAUUUAGUCAUGAAAUAACUUGCUUGAACGUAACUAUUUAAACUCAUUUGAUAUAUAUGAAAGUAAUGCCCACCUGAUAGAAACUUUCUAUAGAUUUGUGACUCCUUGACGACUCUUAUUCUUGCGCUCAACCUUUAAUCCGAGAAAAUAAGUAAGAUUUAAAUCGAGGAAUAUUCUCAAUUAAAUGAGAAUGCGUAAUUGAACUAUGCAUGAAUCUCGUAUGCAUGAACCAUUAUUCUGAGAAAAUAAUCAGGGAAUUUCUAUUGUUAAUCCAGGCUAUCGGAUUUAAACAAAAGCUAAGUCUCGUCUCAUGAAGCCGGAUAAUUAACUAAAAUUAAUCUGUUCUCUUCGGGGUGUUCUAAUCCGUCAAUUAAAUAAAUCCCGCUCCACGUAGUCGAUAGAAAAGAAUAAAUAAAUACUUCGACUUACUCGCUUUAUAACCUCUUAAAACUCAAUCGGGCUUAAUAAUUGGGAGAAAGUACUGUGGUAAGUUUAAAUAAUUAAAAGGCUCGACAUAAGGCAGCCUAAUAAUUAAUUAAGUAAAAGUGGGCCUGAAUAAUUAAAUGAAAGGUCCAAUUGAAAUAAUCCAUUGGCUCAAGUAGUUAAAUAGAUCUUGGCCCAAAUAAAUAAAUAAUGAACAGUUGGGCUGAGUUUAAAUCAAGUAUGCAAGGCCCAGCUGCAAUUAAAUAAAAAAGGCCCAACUGCAAUUAAAUAAUAAGGCCCAACUGAAAUAACAAAGGCCCAAUUGAAAUAAAUUGAAGCAGGCCCAGAAUGAAAUGAAACAAGGCCCAAUUUGAAAUUAAAACAACAAAGGCCCAAUCCUGCUCAAAAAUCAGUCGGCCUCUCUCUCUUUCAAANAAAAUCAGUCGAGCCUUCUCUCUCAAAACAGUCGAGAAUUCCCUCUCUCUCGCAUCAGUCGGACCUCAACAUCAGUCGCGGCUUCUCUCCGCUGAUGGGCUCGCCGCCGCGGCUCCGAAAUCUGCCGAGGUCGACGGUGAGACGUAUCUUCUCGCCUCGCCUCACUUCCUCCUCACUUCACCAUAUCAGCCAACAGCGUCAUCGAGCCCUAAUUCUCUAAAAUAGGACGCGACCUGUCAGCCCCUUUUCUCGCCUGAAAUCGCCGGCGACGCUGCCGUAUUCCUGUCUCUCCCGUCGCACCGUUGCGUCUGAAAUGGCCUCUGUUGUCGUCUCUCAAAAAUCGGGGGAGGUCGCCCCAAGAUCUGAGCCCUAAUCUCGGCCUAUAACUAUCGCCGCCGCCGCGGUCCCCUGGCCGUCAAUCGGCGAAGCCGGCGUCGUCUCGCCUCCUCCUCUAAGUCGUUCCGGUCCCGAUUCAGAUGUCAAAGUAGGCAGGGAGUCGAGCCCUGAUUCCGUUCCACCUCCGCCACCAUGGUUCUGCCGUCAUCUCCACCGUCUGUGGAAGGCCGGCGGUUCAGCGUCGUUGCUCUAUUCGCGACACUACUGCUGCUGCGGUCACCCGAUUUCUGCCGAGGCAGCAAGAGCUGCCGCCGUCAUCAUCGUCGUCGUCUUGGCUCAACCGAACAGGCAGCCGGUCUUAUUCAUAAAGCUAAGUUCUCUAGUCUCGUUUGUUUCUAUUACGCGAGUGUUGACGAGUAUGCAAACUGAAUAUUGAAACAUCAAUGUUGGGACUAGAUCUGUGUUCGAUUAAGAGCUAAGGUGUUCUCUUUCUUUUUGUCUGUGAAGCAAUACUGAUUCUAUGGGAUUUCACAUGAAUGAACUGAUCAUGCUCUGGUACGAAUGCUUGAUAGAAUAGAUAUUCGAGAUAGAAUAAUACCUUGAGUAUCUUGUUGGUUUGUUGUUGUUGAGUUUAGUGAAGUGUGAAAUAACUGAAAUGAAUUGAAGCUGCCAUUGUUUAACGAAUGAAUGAGACUUUGGCAGAAAAUGGUAGAGUUAAAGUAUAAAACUCACCGUGAAGUUGCUUUGUUUGAUUGAUGAACUAUUUGCCGAACUUGAGUAGUUUUAACUAGGGAGAUAACUGAAAUGAAUUUGGUCCUUCUGUUAAUGCAGGUUGCAUAUGGAAGAAAGGUGAAGAAAUUGAACCAAGCUUACCUCUUGAAGUUUGCUGGCAGAGUAAUAAACGAUUUCCUCUUGUUCCUUAGUGGAUUCUACAUGACAAAAUGGAAGAGAAUGAAUGUGGUUUGUUGGUUGAAGUUGAGGCUAAGUGGAGAAGUUGUUGUAGUGUUUUGCCAGAAUGUAGUGCUCAACAAAGUGUAGUGGUGAUAGUAAAGUAGUGGUGUUGGUGGUUGGGGAGCAAUGGGUGGUGGAAUGAAAAGAAAGAAUAAAAAAAAAAUGUAGUAAAAGAUCAAUGAUGUAUUUUCUAUGUCUCGAUGAUUGUGUAACUGUAAUAAAAUACUGGC